UACAUGGGGUGCAAACGUUGCUCGGAAUUAUUGGGCGUAAAGCGCGCGUAGGCGGUUGCUUAUGUCGGAUGUGAAAGCCCUCGGCUCAACUGAGGAAGUGCAUCCGAAACUGGGCAGCUAGAGUACUAAAGAGGGUCGCGGAAUUCCCGGUGUAGAGGUGAAAUUCGUAGAUAUCGGGAGGAACACCGGUGGCGAAGGCGGCGGCCUGGUUAGAGACUGACGCUGAGGCGCGAAAGCGUGGGGAGCAAACAGG
rnacentral:rRNA from 1 species